GCGUUGGCCAAUUGAUUGAUGGUGCUUGCACCUGAUUGAUUUUGGUUGCCAACGAGUGGCGGACGGGUGAGUAACACGUAGGUAACCUGCCCAGAAGCGGGGGACAACAUUUGGAAACAGAUGCUAAUACCGCAUAACAGCGUUGUUCGCAUGAACAACGCUUAAAAGAUGGCUUCUCGCUAUCACUUCUGGAUGGACCUGCGGUGCAUUAGCUUGUUGGUGGGGUAACGGCCUACCAAGGCGAUGAUGCAUAGCCGAGUUGAGAGACUGAUCGGCCACAAUAGGACUGAGACACGGCCCAUACUCCUACGGGAGGCAGCAGUAGGGAAUCUUCCACAAUGGGCGCAAGCCUGAUGGAGCAACACCGCGUGAGUGAAGAAGGGUUUCGGCUCGUAAAGCUCUGUUGUUAAAGAAGAACACGUAUGAGAGUAACUGUUCAUACGUUGACGGUAUUUAACCAGAAAGUCACGGCUAACUACGUGCCAGCAGCCGCGGUAAUACGUAGGUGGCAAGCGUUAUCCGGAUUUAUUGGGCGUAAAGAGAGUGCAGGCGGUUUUCUAAGUCUGAUGUGAAAGCCUUCGGCUUAACCGGAGAAGUGCAUCGGAAACUGGAUAACUUGAGUGCAGAAGAGGGUAGUGGAACUCCAUGUGUAGCGGUGGAAUGCGUAGAUAUAUGGAAGAACACCAGUGGCGAAGGCGGCUACCUGGUCUGCAACUGACGCUGAGACUCGAAAGCAUGGGUAGCGAACAGGAUUAGAUACCCUGGUAGUCCAUGCCGUAAACGAUGAGUGCUA
rnacentral:rRNA from 1 species